CAAUAGCGUAUAUUAAAGUUGUUGCGGUUAAAAGCUCGUAGUUGGAUUUCUGCCGAGGAUGACCGGUCCGCCCUGUGGGUGUGCAUCUGGCUCAGCCUUGGCAUCUUCCUGAAGAACGUAGCUGCACUUGACUGUGUGGUGCGGUAUUUAGGACAUUUACUUUGAGGAAAUUAGAGUGUUUCAAGCAAGCGCACGCUUUGAAUACAUUAGCAUGGAAUAAUAAGAUAGGACCUCGGUUCUAUUUUGUUGGUUUCUAGAGCUGAGGUAAUGAUUGAUAGGGACAAUUGGGGCGAUUCGUAUCAACACGUCAGAGGUGGAAUUCUUGGAUUGUGUUGCGACGAACUACUGCGAAAGCAUUUGCCAAGGAUGUUUUCAUUGAUCAAGAACGAAAGUAAGGGGAUCGAAGACGAUUAGAU
rnacentral:rRNA from 1 species